GAUGAACGCUGGCGGCGUGCUUAACACAUGCAAGUCGAACGGAGAAAGGGUAGCUUGCUAUCUUUUCUUAGUGGCGGACGGGUGAGUAACGCGUGGGUAACCUGCCCUUUGCAGGGGGAUAACAGUGAGAAAUCACUGCUAAUACCGCAUACCAACUUCUUUCGCAUGAAAGAAGUUUGAAAGAUUUAUCGGCAAAGGAUGGACCCGCGUUGGAUUAGCUAGUUGGUGAGAUAACAGCCCACCAAGGCAACGAUCCAUAGCCGGCCUGAGAGGGUGAACGGCCACACUGGGACUGAGACACGGCCCAGACUCCUACGGGAGGCAGCAGUGGGGAAUAUUGCACAAUGGGCGAAAGCCUGAUGCAGCGACGCCGCGUGAAGGAUGAAGGUCUUCGGAUUGUAAAACUUCUAUCAGCAGGGAAGAAAGGGCCUAUGGACCUAUGACGGUACCUGACUAAGAAGCCCCGGAUAACCUACGUCGCCAGCAGCCGCGGUAAAAGUA
rnacentral:rRNA from 1 species